rnacentral:rRNA from 1 species
AUUGAACGCUGGCGGCAUGCCUUACACAUGCAAGUCGAACGGCAGCGGACCUUCGGGUGCCGGCGAGUGGCGAACGGGUAAGUAAUAUAUCGGAACGUACCUUUCAGUAAGGGAUAACGUAGCGAAAGUUACGCUAAUACCGCAUAUUCUGUGAGCAGGAAAGCAAAGGAUCGCAAGACCUUGCGCUGAUUGAGCGGCCGAUAUCAGAUUAGCUAGUUGGUGAGGUAAAAACUCACCAAGGCGACGAUCUGUAGCGGGUCUGAGAGGAUGAUCCGCCACACUGGAACUGAGACACGGUCCAGACUCUACGGGAGGCAGCAGUGGGGAAUUUUUGGGACAAUGGGCGC